UACGUAGGGUGCAAGCGUUGUCCGGAAUUAUUGGGCGUAAAGAGCUCGUAGGCGGUCUGUCACGUCGGCUGUGAAAACCCGAGGCUCAACCUCGGGCCUGCAGUCGAUACGGGCAAACUAGAGUACUGCAGGGGAGACUGGAAUUCCUGGUGUAGCGGUGAAAUGCGCAGAUAUCAGGAGGAACACCGGUGGCGAAGGCGGGUCUCUGGGCAGUAACUGACGCUGAGGAGCGAAAACGUGGGGAGCGAACAGG
rnacentral:rRNA from 1 species